rnacentral:rRNA from 1 species
AUUGAACGCUGGCGGCAGGCCUAACACAUGCAAGUCGAACGGUAACAGGAAGCAGCUUGCUGCUUCGCUGACGAGUGGCGGACGGGUGAGUAAUGUCUGGGAAGCUGCCUGAUGGAGGGGGAUAACUACUGGAAACGGUAGCUAAUACCGCAUAAUGUCGCAAGACCAAAGCGGGGGACCUUCGGGCCUCUUGCCUUCGGAUGUGCCCAGAUGGGAUUAGCUUGUUGGUGGGGUAACGACUCACCAAGGCGGCGAUCCCUGGCUGGUCUGAGAGGAUGACGAUCCACACUGGAAGUGAGACACGGUCCAGACUCCUACGGGAGGCAGCAGUGGGGAAGAUUGCACAAUGGGCGGAAGCCUGAUGCAGCCAUGCCGCGUGUAUGAAGAAGGCGUUCGGGUUGUAAAGUACUUUCAGCGGGGAGGAAGGGAGUAAAGUUAAUACCUUUGCUCAUUGACGUUACCCGCAGAAGAAGCACCGGCUAACUCCGUG